UACGAAGGGGGCUAGCGUUGCUCGGAAUCACUGGGCGUAAAGCGCACGUAGGCGGAUCUUUAAGUCAGGGGUGAAAUCCCGGAGCUCAACUCCGGAACUGCCUCUGAUACUGGGGGUCUCGAGUCCGGGAGAGGUGAGUGGAACUGCGAGUGUAGAGGUGAAAUUCGUAGAUAUUCGCAAGAACACCAGUGGCGAAGGCGGCUCACUGGCCCGGUACUGACGCUGAGGUGCGAAAGCGUGGGGAGCAAACAGG
rnacentral:rRNA from 1 species